UCCUAGGGAAAAUCUAACCUCCUAUACGGACGUACCUACCCACGCCCUCCCAAAUUUUCCCCAUCUCCCCUCCCCCAUGAUUCCUCUCACUCAAGCUCCAUGACCACGAAUCCAGGAUGUUGAUCGCCACCAGCAAUUGCAGCUAGCUCGGGCGCUCUUCCACGGCGUCGCUCACUAGCCCGGCUGGCCCGCAGUCCUCUCCUCCGACCCUCCGCCGUCGCAACUUCCUUCGCGCUGCUGCACAUGCCCUGCAGCAACCCUAGCCGCCACGGGCCGCCGGUGCGACUCCCGCGUAGGCCCUCUACCCCGCGUCUCCGCACGCGCAGGUGAUGGCUUGGGCUCGCCGGUGCUGCUCCGCCUCGGCUACAUCGCCUCUGACACCGACAAUUUAGUUCUGAAACUGACCUUGCUUCAGCCAACAUGUGCGUAUUUGUUGGAUUGCAUUGUCAUUCUAGUAGUAGUUCGAUCUGUUGUGUUGAUGAACAUCCACGUGAGGCUGCAGGAUCGUUAAUGGCGUCGUAGCAGCACUGCACAAUUAAUUAUUGAUGGCGAGCAACAUCACAGCUCUUCUCAUCGUGCUCACAGGCUGUGGAGCCGCCAGCCUGCUGGAGCUACUGGCCUGCUUGAGGCGCCCUCGAUCAGUGCCAACAUGGCGAGAGAAAACUAUGGUACAGAUUUCUUAGGUUGCAAGGUUCUGUGUUCCCCUAGGAUUUAAGAUGGUGUUGUUACUUGAUGUAGGAACUAUGGUAUACUAUGACUAUAACACGUUUUGUUGUUUCUUGUAUUGUUUCAGUGCAUGAGCCAGAACCCUGUAAGAUUGAUUUCACCUUUCUCCAAUUACUCUUAUCAGAACUUGUGGUUCUACAUGUUGCUGGCUCCCAACUUUUCUUCAAUCGACAUCUAAUUAUUCACAAGAUCAUGAAAUAUUGAUGUCUCACUGGUUCUUCAUCUAUCAAUUUCCCAGAUUAGGAGUUGAUAUAAACAUCAAUAUGCUCAAGAUUGCCAAGAUAAACUGGAUGAUGCAUGGCUCCAAUGUUGAUUGCAAGGAUGAGAAUGGGGCUACUACUAGAUAAUUAGAAUGUAAUUUUCAAGACAACAUUUCAAAUAUAUAGUUGAUGGCAAGGUCGAGAAUUCGGCUACUACUAGAUAGUUUCACAUCUUGUAAUCUCUGGAUCGUGUUCUUUGUAAUGCAACAUAUUUGAUUCAAUAUAUGAGACCCUCCUGUUCA